rnacentral:sRNA from 1 species
UUGGCAUAUUUUUUUCACCAGAUAUAGCGUAUCGAUGCCAGCCAUUUUAAACUACAGGCCGCAAUGUGUGCGAAUAAUUGGCAAAAGGCAGCCCUGGUUGCCUUUUUCUUU